rnacentral:rRNA from 1 species
UACGGGGGGAGCAAGCGUUGUUCGGAUUUACUGGGCGUAAAGGGCGCGUAGGCGGCCACCGCAAGUCGACUGUGAAAUCUCCGGGCUUAACCCGGAAAGGUCAGCCGAUACUGCGGGGCUAGAGUCCGGAAGAGGCGGGUGGAAUUCCUGGUGUAGCGGUGGAAUGCGCAGAUAUCAGGAGGAACACCAACGGCGAAGGCAGCCCGCUGGGACGGUACUGACGCUAAGGCGCGAAAGCGUGGGGAGCGAACAGG